rnacentral:rRNA from 1 species
CAUAGGUUAAUGAGGCGAACCGGGGGAACUGAAACAUCUAAGUACCCCGAGGAAAAGAAAUCAACCGAGAUUCCCCCAGUAGCGGCGAGCGAACGGGGAGCAGCCCAGAGCCUGAAUCAGUGUGUGUGUUAGUGGAAGCGUCUGGAAAGGCGCGCGAUACAGGGUGACAGCCCCGUACACAAAAAUGCACAUACUGUGAGCUCGAUGAGUAGGGCGGGACACGUGGUAUCCUGUCUGAAUAUGGGGGGACCAUCCUCCAAGGCUAAAUACUCCUGACUGACCGAUAGUGAACCAGUACCGUGAGGGAAAGGCGAAAAGAACCCCGGCGAGGGGAGUGAAAAAGAACCUGAAACCGUGUACGUACAAGCAGUGGGAGCACGCUUAGGCGUGUGACUGCGUACCUUUUGUAUAAUGGGUCAGCGACUUAUAUUCUGUAGCAAGGUUAACCGAAUAGGGGAGCCGAAGGGAAACCGAGUCUUAACUGGGCGUUAAGUUGCAGGGUAUAGACCCGAAACCCGGUGAUCUAGCCAUGGGCAGGUUGAAGGUUGGGUAACACUAACUGGAGGACCGAACCGACUAAUGUUGAAAAAUUAGCGGAUGACUUGUGGCUGGGGGUGAAAGGCCAAUCAAACCGGGAGAUAGCUGGUUCUCCCCGAAAGCUAUUUAGGUAGCGCCUCGUGAAUUCAUCUCCGGGGGUAGAGCACUGUUUCGGCAAGGGGGUCAUCCCGACUUACCAACCCGAUGCAAACUGCGAAUACCGGAGAAUGUUAUCACGGGAGACACACGGCGGGUGCUAACGUCCGUCGUGAAGAGGGAAACAACCCAGACCGCCAGCUAAGGUCCCAAAGUCAUGGUUAAGUGGGAAACGAUGUGGGAAGGCCCAGACAGCCAGGAUGUUGGCUUAGAAGCAGCCAUCAUUUAAAGAAAGCGUAAUAGCUCACUGGUCGAGUCGGCCUGCGCGGAAGAUGUAACGGGGCUAAACCAUGCACCGAAGCUGCGGCAGCGACGCUGAUGCGUUGUUGGGUAGGGGAGCGUUCUGUAAGCCUGUGAAGGUGUGCUGUGAGGCAUGCUGGAGGUAUCAGAAGUGCGAAUGCUGACAUAAGUAACGAUAAAGCGGGUGAAAAGCCCGCUCGCCGGAAGACCAAGGGUUCCUGUCCAACGUUAAUCGGGGCAGGGUGAGUCGACC